AGGACUACGUAGAAGGGGUGAUGUCACGAUCUUCCGACCUUUCCACACUUGCGCUUGAGCUUUAUUUCCUAAAGUGGAGCUAUCUAUUGCACCCCUGAUAUUUGACCUCUCUGAUUUCCCUAAAUGUGGGAAAAUCAGCCUCAUAAAUUAUAUUAGUGGGGGACUGUGUUUGUGCUUUUCCUUG
ensembl:snRNA U1 U1 spliceosomal RNA